GUGUCAGCAGCCGCGGUAAUACGGAGGGUGCAAACGUUGCUCGGAAUUACUGGGCGUAAAGGGAGCGCAGGCGGAUCUGCAAGUCAGGCGUGAAAGCCCAAGGCUCAACCUUGGACGUGCGCUUGAAACUGCGGAUCUAGAGUUCAACAGAGAGAAGCGGAAUUCCUGGUGUAGCGGUGAAAUGCGUUGAUAUCAGGAGGAACACCUAUUGCGAAGGCAGCUUCUUGGGUUGCGACUGACGCUCAUGCUCGAAAGCGUCGGGGAUCAAACAGGAUUAGAUACCCUGGUAGUCC
rnacentral:rRNA from 1 species